rnacentral:rRNA from 1 species
AAUAGAUACCCUGGUAGUCCACGCCGUAAACGAUGAGUGCUAAGUGUUAGAGGGUUUCCGCCCUUUAGUGCUGCAGCUAACGCAUUAAGCACUCCGCCUGGGGAGUACGGCCGCAAGGCUGAAACUCAAAGGAAUUGACGGGGGCCCGCACAAGCGGUGGAGCAUGUGGUUUAAUUCGAAGCAACGCGAAGAACCUUACCAGGUCUUGACAUCCUUUGCCAACCCUAGAGAUAGGGCGUUCCCCUUCGGGGGACAGAGUGACAGGUGGUGCAUGGUUGUCGUCAGCUCGUGUCGUGAGAUGUUGGGUUAAGUCCCGCAACGAGCGCAACCCUUGAUCUUAGUUGCCAGCAUCCAGUUGGGCACUCUAAGGUGACUGCCGGUGACAAACCGGAGGAAGGUGGGGAUGACGUCAAAUCAUCAUGCCCCUUAUGACCUGGGCUACACACGUGCUACAAUGGAUGGUACAAAGAGCUGCGAACCCGCGAGGGUAAGCGAAUCUCAUAAAGCCAUUCUCAGUUCGGA